AAUUUUUAUUGCUAUUUCCCAGAAUACAUGAUAGCAUUGGCAAAACCCAACCCUCAUCCUCUUUGAUCCGCACUUUAGAAAUUCUGAAGUCACUUAUAAUUUUUCCAAGACCAUAGUUGCAUUUUCGUUUAGUUCAAAGAUUAUAUAUGUAUAAUGUUUCUUAAUAUACCUUUGGCACAUUGGCAGAAUAACAGAGUUGUGAGAAUUUUACAUAAAUAAAAAAGGUACAAAUAGAUGUAAAAUGGUACUUAACAUAAUUAAUAAUUACUGUGUAUAAUAAAUUAUUGCGAGCAUGUGAUAUAGCAACC